CUGAUGGGAUUUCUUCGAAUACUCGGAUCAGUGAAGAAGAGGGUGUAUCUGCUCAAGAAACAAGGGAAGAAGAGUUGAAGCUUUGGGAUUCAAUUGUAGAUGAGGCUUCUAAGAUGCAAGCUGCAACAAGAGAUGAGUCCUUAGAUCAUGAAACUACGCAGCAAGAGAUGAGUCCUUAGAUCAUGAAACUAUGCAGAAAUUUGUGUCACCAAUAUAUGCAAAUAUUGAAGUAGAUGAUUACGCUGAUUAUUUCAGAACAGAGUUGCUGUAUCAAAUGGGACUCAACCAAGAACCACAGAACACUCUUUUGCUAGCUAAUUAUGCUCAAUUUCUUUUCUUGGUCGCCCAAGAUUAUGACAGGUACCAAAAUUUUCUCUUUUUCUCAUUUAUGUGUUAGAUUUUAAAACCUUUUUUUCUACUAAGGAAAACUAGAUCUAACUGGCGGAUUAAGUCAUGACUUUCAGCUCAUUAGUUGAUCUUUAGGUCAAGAUAGUUGUUUGUUUUGAAUUGUUUUGGUGGGCUUGAAAAAUCACAUUCACAAAGCAAUGGUCAUUUUUCUGUAAUAUAUGGGUGGGAUUGUUGAAUCUUGAUAGGGGAGUCUGUGGUAGUACUUUAUUUCUUUUCUCCAAUUAUAUCAAUCUGUGCGGGCCCAUGGUGCAACCUCCUGUAAAAUGUCACUGUGUAUAGGCCUCAUUUCGGUCUUAGUUGCGGUUACAGAACCUUUUUCCGAUAGACCCUAAAGUAGAGACUUAAAAAUAACUACACGCAAAUGAUCAUAAUAAGUAGAUCUAUAACCUAAAGAAAUAAUGCAUAUUACGUGCGACAACAAGUUAAUAAAAAUAUAAGUAGUGUGAAAAUUCUUUUGUAUAGUGAGUGUAUAUAAUUUGGUUAAGUGUGGAUGUUAAUUAUCUAGUGUUGUUAUGAACAGAGCGGAGGAGUACUUCAAGAAAGCAUCAAAGGUGGAACCAAAGGAUGCAGAGGCAUUGAAUAAGUAUGCAAAUUUUCUGUGGCAAGUAAGGAAGGACCUUUGGGCUGCAGAAGAAACCUUUCUUGAAGCCAUUGCUGCAGAACCAAGCAACUCAUUCUAUGCAGGUAAUUAUGCUAAUUUUCUAUGGAAUACUGGUGGUGAAGACACUUGUUUCCCACUCGAUACUGAUGUUUAGUUCCAAAAAGUAAAGAAAUUAAAAAAAAAAGAUUAUUAAAGUGGAAGAUGAAGUCAUGAAGAGAAGAAAAUCUUAUUGGUCAAGGAUACAAAUUGAAAUAACAAAGGGAUAAUUUGAAUGGGGUCCAAGAUAAUUAUGGUUUGCAGAAUUUGGAUUUUCCCUUUGUAUUUAAAUUGCUGGACAAUGGUGUGUUGGGGAGACAAGGAAGAGCAAGGAGGGUGACUAUGGAGUUGUUAAUUGACAACCGCCCCUUUGGCCUUAUUUUCCUGCUACUAUAAUUGCUAGUAGUCAUAUGAUACACAUCCUCUCAAACAUGUGUAAAUUCAGCAACUCUCGUCUUUAGAUCACAGAAAACUGAGAAGGCUCUCUUGCUUGGGAUUUUUUCUGUUUACUUCUUCAUUCUUCUUGUUAACAGUUUUCCUUUUUUAUUUUUUUGCAUAGUUCACAUAGCGAAAUUGUAAUUAAACUUUUGUUAAUAGAUAAAUGCGGACUCUUUCUUUGUAACUUCUGACAUUUGUAUGUUGCUGAAAUACAUGAUCCAAUGCGUACUUGGAGUUUCAAAAUUGAAUAAAUGAUAUAGAUACAAAAGCAGCCCAUGCUGUAAGCACGAAAUACCGUACUGCUC
rnacentral:lncRNA from 1 species